AAUUCCCACUUGGAUUUAAACACCAAGCCCAGCGGUCCGAAAAACCACCGUUGUAACUCAACUAUAAGAACCA
rnacentral:tRNA from 1 species